UCCGUGACUGUGGUAAGAUUACACUAUGCUGGCAUUUUCCUUCGUAUUAUUUAGACCAGUGUCGCGUACAUCUUCUCUUUAGAUGCUCAAAUUACUUUGAAAACUUGGAAAUGUUUUACUGCAACGAGCUGCAUUCGUUCCCGAAAUGCUGGCCAACCUGGAGCUUAAGCUGGUAGUUGAGAAGCAGCCCUGAGGUGUCACAAAUACCGCCAGCACAACAGCUCGCUGUGGCAUGGUUGCCUAGAGCAGUGGUUGUUAGGGCAGGCAUCGAACAUGCAACCGAGCAGCAUUCCCGCCUUGCAAAGUGCCACUCCUGGCUGCACGAGAGGGGCAGAACCAGCUUCGACCACUGCAGUGCCGGCCACCGCACCACCGCAUACUAUCCGGCGUCUGGUGGUUCAAUCGAAAGAAGAGCAGCAACAGUCCAAGAUGGUGGUGGUGAACGCUCCAGCAUGCAGCCGUAUCCACAGCCUGGAUGCUCCCAGAGCACCUCGCCGUCGCCACCUCCACUUCAGAGACUUGUUGCCGCUCUAGCUCAGGAGGACACGCACAUCACCCGAUCUGCAUAGCCCAACGAGGAAAAGUUUCAACUUGUGACUAGAAAAGCAGUUUUGCCCAAUGAGUAUCUGGAUAGUUAGACAAAACUCUAUGAAACCAGGCUACCUGACAUACUCGGAUUUACCAGUACAAUACAGGUGAUGUUGUAACUAGUGCAGAUUAUGACCAUGCCGUGAAUGUAUGGGGCAAUUCAACAUUCCAGUUGGGUGAAUACACAUAACAUCUACGUGAUUACUCUGCUAUUCACAAUUAAGUGUCUGGCAGAGAGUUCAAUGAACAUUAUUAUACAUGGAGCAUGAUUAUACAUGGACACUGACGUGCACUUAUUUGCAGCUGUUUUUCAAAAACUACCGGAAUGUAUGCCCACGUACUCUCUGGAUCUCGCCUUGUGUUACACAGCACCUGGGUUGUCCUGGGAUACAAUACUCAAGAACUUUGGACAGAUGCUGAUAUGCUUCUUUUCACUGAGCGCGGGAUCCGAGGGGGACUCUGCCAAUGUGUCCAUAGAUACGCCAAGGCAAAUAACCCACAAAUGAGUGUGGGGAUCAACGCAUCCCUCGAUUCAAGUUAUAUUCCAUAUUUGGAUGUGAACAACUUACAUGGGCACACCAUGAUGCAGUGACUACCAGUUGAUGGGUUUCAAUGGGUUCCCGUAAACUAAUCAAAUGGUUCAGAUGGCUCUAAGCACUAUGGGACUUAACAUCUGAGGACAUCAGUCCCCUAGAACUUAGAACUACUUAAACCUAACUAACCUAAG